rnacentral:rRNA from 1 species
GACGAACGCUGGCGGCGUGCCUAAUACAUGCAAGUAGAACGCUGAAGAGAGGAGCUUGCUCUUCUUGGAUGAGUUGCGAACGGGUGAGUAACGCGUAGGUAACCUGCCUUGUAGCGGGGGAUAACUAUUGGAAACGAUAGCUAAUACCGCAUAACAAUGGAUGACACAUGUCAUUUAUUUGAAAGGGGCAAUUGCUCCACUACAAGAUGGACCUGCGUUGUAUUAGCUAGUAGGUGAGGUAAUGGCUCACCUAGGCGACGAUACAUAGCCGACCUGAGAGGGUGAUCGGCCACACUGGGACUGAGACACGGCCCAGACUCCUACGGGAGGCAGCAGUAGGGAAUCUUCGGCAAUGGGGGCAACCCUGACCGAGCAACGCCGCGUGAGUGAAGAAGGUUUUCGGAUCGUAAAGCUCUGUUGUAAGUCAAGAACGGGUGUGAGAGUGGAAAGUUCACACUGUGACGGUAGCUUACCAGAAAGGGACGGCUAACUACGUGCCAGCAGCCGCGGUAAUACGUAGGUCCCGAGCGUUGUCCGGAUUUAUUGGGCGUAAAGCGAGCGCAGGCGGUUUGAUAAGUCUGAAGUUAAAGGCUGUGGCUCAACCAUAGUUCGCUUUGGAAACUGUCAAACUUGAGUGCAGAAGGGGAGAGUGGAAUUCCAUGUGUAGCGGUGAAAUGCGUAGAUAUAUGGAGGAACACCGGUGGCGAAGGCUGCUCUCUGGUCUGUAACUGACGCUGAGGCUCGAAAGCGUGGGGAGCGAACAGGAUUAGAUACCCUGGUAGUCCACGCCGUAAACGAUGAGUGCUAGGUGUUGGAUCCUUUCCGGGAUUCAGUGCCGCAGCUAACGCAUUAAGCACUCCGCCUGGGGAGUACGACCGCAAGGUUGAAACUCAAAGGAAUUGACGGGGGCCCGCACAAGCGAUGGAGCAUGUGGUUUAAUUCGAAGCAACGCGAAGAGCCUUACCAGGUCUUGACAUCCCGAUGCUAUUUCUAGAGAUAGAAAGUUACUUCGGUACAUCGGUGACAGGUGGUGCAUGGUUGUCGUCAGCUCGUGUCGUGAGAUGUUGGGUUAAGUCCCGCAACGAGCGCAACCCCUAUUGUUAGUUGCCAUCAUUCAGUUGGGCACUCUAGCGAGACUGCCGGUAAUAAACCGGAGGAAGGUGGGGAUGACGUCAAAUCAUCAUGCCCCUUAUGACCUGGGCUACACACGUGCUACAAUGGUUGGUACAACGAGUUGCGAGUCGGUGACGGCGAGCUAAUCUCUUAAAGCCAAUCUCAGUUCGGAUUGUAGGCUGCAACUCGCCUACAUGAAGUCGGAAUCGCUAGUAAUCGCGGAUCAGCACGCCGCGGUGAAUACGUUCCCGGGCCU